CAGCAAUUAGAUUUGGGCCGGGUCCGUUUUCAAGUCAGCAGAUCCGCAUAGCAGUCACAGUCAUUUUGCCGAUCAGCGGCAGCUCCGAUCCGGACCAGUAGUUUGACAGUCAGUUUUGAAGGCUCCUGGCGGAGGCGGGCCAGAUAAGCAAUCCGGACGCGCCAUAAUAAAAUAAUUCAGUCCGAUUUGAAGGCGCGUGGCGGGUGCGGGCCACAUAAAGCAAUCCGGACGCGCCAAAACUGAAUUUGUUCCCCAACUGUCACUUUGGAACCCUCAGAGAGAGAGAGACCGUUCUUCAGUUUACCUCAGCUGAACUCAACUAUCCGCCUGUGUCGCGUCUCGUCCAACACUGCACUGUCGUGACUUGAUCAUUCAAUGAUGAAUUGUACGGUAGGUUCAGCCAUUCCUUGAUCGACCUGACACCAGCAUUAGGCCUACUCGAUGUGUAUGAAGCAAGCUGCCUCUGCAUCAAGUGAGGGAAGAAGCCGCCACUGAAACGCUUUUUGGACUGUCAUUUGAAGGUAUGAGCCGAGAGUUGUAAACAUGAAUGCCAAUUGUACUAGGCCUAUAUAUUUUCACAGUGAAAUCCCAAUAACUAUUAUUCAUAAUUAUUUAUUCUUUUUCUGCUACAGGACACAAAUGAAAGGACAGGAAUUCUGCUCUGCGGCGUUGGUCUCACUAUUUAUUCAAGAAGCCCUUGGACACCACCAGAAUGUAUGAAAAUUGCAAACAGUAGGCACAGUCAUUCCUUGAUCGACCUGGCAUCAACAUCGCUCGAUGUGUAUGAAGCUGCAAGUGAGAGAAGAAGCCGCCACUGAACACCUUUUUGGACUGUCAUGACUGAAAUGAAAGGACAGGACUUCUACUCUGCUGGGUCGGCCUCACUACAUAUUCAAGAAGCCCUCGGACGUCAUCAGAAUGUACUAAUGUGAAGAGGCAACAAGGGAGAGAUGAACGCUAUCAAAAAUGUGGAGAUGGAUCUGGCAGCCGACCGCUUUGGCACACACCCAACAAGAAACAAAACAAUAAAGAAUACUAAAAUGCAUAA